UGGGGAAUAUUGGACAAUGGGCGAAAGCCUGAUCCAGCGAUGCCGCGUGAGUGAUGAAGGCCUUAGGGUUGUAAAGCUCUUUUACCCGGGAUGAUAAUGACAGUACCGGGAGAAUAAGCUCCGGCUAACUCCGUGCCAGCAGCCGCGGUAAUACGGAGGGAGCUAGCGUUGUUCGGAAAUACUGGGCGUAAAGCGCACGUAGGCGGCUCAGCAAGUCAGGGGUGAAAUCCCGGGGCUCAACCCCGGAACUGCCCUUGAAACUGGCGGUCUUGAGUUCGAGAGAGGUGAGUGGAAUUCCGAGUGUAGAGGUGAAAUUCGUAGAUAUUCGGAGGAACACCAGUGGCGAAGGCGGCUCACUGGCUCGAUACUGACGCUGAGGUGCGAAAGUGUGGGGAGCAAACAGGAUUAGAUACCCGUGUAGUCC
rnacentral:rRNA from 1 species